AUUCUGUUAUAGUCCCACAAAUCGCUAUUGCGCUGGAACCAUGUCUCAUUCACAUCGAAAUGACGUCAUUUUUACGUCAGCCGAAAUAAAUAAAAAACACCAUCAGCUCGAAACUUCAGUCUAGUGCUGACGUCACUAAAACGGCGGCCACGCGCAUUAGCAAUUUGCAGGACUUAUAAAAUAAA